rnacentral:misc_RNA from 1 species
GAUGAAGAACGUAGUGAAAUGCGAUAAGUAAUGUGAAUUGCAGAAUUCAGUGAAUCAUCGAAUCUUUGAACGCACAUUGCGCCCCCUGGUAUUCCGGGGGGCAUGCCUGUUCGAGCGUCAUUUCAACCCUCAAGCUCUGCUUGGUAUUGGGCGUCGCCGGGGAGUCUCCCCGGCGUGCCUCAAAGCCAUCGGCGGUGGUGCCUUUCUCUAAGCGUGGUAGAAUUUUUAUUCGCUUCUGAGUUGGGCUUCGCCUGCCGGACAAACCGGGCCCUCGCGGCCCACCUUCUCGGGUUGACCUCGGAUCAGGUAGGGAUACCCGCUGAACUUAAGCAUAUCAAUAAGCGGAGGA